GUAAAGGGCGCGUAGGCGGCCGGAGCAGUUCUGGGUGAAAGUCCUCGGCUCAACCGGGGAAUUGCCUGGAAAACCAUCGGGCUGGAGUGCUGGAGAGGCAAGCGGAAUUCCUGGUGUAGCGGUGAAAUGCGUAGAUAUCAGGAGGAACACCUGAGGCGAAGGCGGCUUGCUGGACAGACACUGACGCUGAGGCGCGAAAGCUAGGGGAGCAAACGGGAUUAGAUACCCCGGUAGUCCUAGCCGUAAACGAUGGGUACUUGGUGUGGGGGGUGAUUGAAGUCCCUCCGUGCCGGCGAUAACUCGUUAAGUACCCCGCCUGGGGAGUACGAUCGCAAGAUUGAAACUCAAAGGAAUUGACGGGGGCCCGCACAAGCGGUGGAGCAUGUGGUUUAAUUCGACGCAACGCGAAGAACCUUACCGGGGUUUGAACUGCAGGGGGCGGUGGCAGAGAUGUCGCCUUCUCUUCGGAGACCGCUGCAGAGGUGCUGCAUGGCUGUCGUCGGCUCGUGUCGUGAGAUGUUGGGUUAAGUCCCGCAACGAGCGCAACCCUUGUCUGUAGUUGCCAUCAGGUGAAGCUGGGCACCCUACAGAGACUGUCGGCGAAAAGCCGGAGGAAGGUGGGGAUGACGUCAAGUCCUCAUGGCCUUUAUGCCCCGGGCUACACACGUGCUACAAUGGGCGGUACAAAGAGCAGCCAACUUGCAAAAGUGAGCGAAUCUCAAAAAGCCGUCCCCAGUUCGGAUUGCAGUCUGCAACUCGACUGCAUGAAGGUGGAAUCGCUAGUAACCGCAGAUCAGCAUGCCGCGGUGAAUACGUUCCCGGGCCUUGUACACACCGCCCGUCACAUCACGAAAGUGGGCUGCACUAGAAGCCGCCGGGCUAAC
rnacentral:rRNA from 1 species